UCCCUACUCCACCCAUGCCAUA
rnacentral:miRNA from 1 species